rnacentral:rRNA from 1 species
UCCGUUUGAUCCUGGCAGAGGUUACUGCUAUCGAGGUUCGACUAAGCCAUGCGAGUCGAAUGUAGCAAUACAUGGCGAACUGCUCAGUAACACGUGGACAACCUGCCCUUAGGACGGGGAUAAACCCGGGAAACUGGGUAUAAUACCCGAUAGGUCUCGAUUGCUGGAAUGCAUCGAGAUUUAAAGCUCCGGCGCCUAAGGAUGGGUCUGCGGCCUAUCAGGUAGUAGUGGGUGUAGCGUACCUACUAGCCUACGACGGGUACGGGUUGUGAGAGCAAGAGCCCGGAGAUGGAUUCUGAGACACGAAUCCAGGCCCUACGGGGUGCAGCAGGCGCGAAAACUUUACAAUGCUGGCAACAGCGAUAAGGGAACCUCGAGUGCCAGGUUACAAAUCUGGCUGUCGAGAUGCCUAAAAAGCAUUUCAUAGCAAGGGCCGGGCAAGACCGGUGCCAGCCGCCGCGGUAACACCGGCGGCUCGAGUGGUAACCGUUAUUAUUGGG